UGAUGUCUUUUUUAUACUUUUCUGGACCUUGACAGUGUUUUUUACUUGUUUUUAUCCAAAAUAUCUUAAAUUGUGUUCUGAAGACGAACUAAGCUUUUACGGGUUUGGAACGACAUGGGUGUAAGUGAUUAAUGACAAAAUUUUAAUUUUGGGGUGGAGUAUCCCUUAAAUGUGUGUAUCUAUGAAUCUACUAAAGUUAACUUAGCCUGGAAAUUAGUCAUAGCAUGACAAAUGAGUAGGGCAAUUUUAAUUAAAAUACAUAUACAGUAUAUACAUGAAAUGGACAUAGGCCUAGGUGGUAUACAAAUGAAUAACUAACAUAAGUCAGUUUGAAAAUGUGUUUUAAGCUUAUUUUCUUUCUCACAGUGCCGUAGUUGAGUCAUACACUAUGUUAAGGUAUAACCCAAAAUGCCAUUGAACAUUCAAUGUGAAACAACUAUAUAAUGAUAAUGUUUUCAUGUUCGUGUUUUGAUACGUUUGUGUUUUGAAUCGUUUACUUGCAGUUCGUUUACAAACAGCACGUGCAGCUUGAACCCGAUGAAGAGCUUCUUCAUCGCUGGCAAACGAUAAGUUGCAGCUUCGACUCAGUGGAUCACAGUUUGCAGUCAGAUUUGUCCCAGCGCUCGAGAAUCACAGCUUUAUUAGGUCUACUUUUACAGUCUUCCCAGCUAACAAAUCCCCGAGAAGCAGACAUUGAGCUGAAGCAUGAGAGAGCAGGUAGGUUUAGUGUGUCCUUCAAACCUUACUUUGCUGUCCCUGCCUGCAGAAAUGAGAGGAAUCACCCAAAGUAGGUCAGUCCUCACUCUCCUGGGUCAAACACGCCUUCCUAUCUGAGCAGUGCGCACUCGACAUGAUAGCUUCAGCUGUGACAGCAUUCUGCUGCUGCGGUCUGGAGCCUCGGGGUCUGGCGGUCGAGGGUUCGAGAUCCACUGUUGGUCAUCAGAGGGAUAAGAAGGCCGGUUCGCGACCUGUCAUAGCCACGGGCGAGUGAGAAUAGCUCAAAGCCUUUGCUUGGGAUUCUGGGAUUGAGAUGUACUGGUGAAGUGAAUUAUUCUCAGAGAUGUUGAGGCCCCUGCAAAUUUCCCAGAAUAAAGCUGUCAUCGAAUCCUUGUCAACGCUGUCACAUGACCAGAGUCUGCAGAUGCUUAGUCAAUUAAUUGGCUGGUAAAUUAAUAUUCUGUGCACGCCAUAUGUUUAAAGUUGUCAUUUAAAGGGAACAUAUCAUGGAAAACAAGUGUUGAUACUGAUUUCACAUGCAAACAGUUAGCAAAUCAUAAAUGAAGUUUUUAAAUCUUAAAGGUACAGUAGCAGAAACAGACAUUCAGUCAUGACAAAAUUUCACUGGAAAGACAAAAAAUAUGUACUUGCAUUUGCGUUCACGAACACGUCAGAAAAAGGGUGGAAAAUUGUGAUCUAAAAAUAAAGUAUGCCAGCUUCAAAGAAGAACCAAGCCUAAUUUUUUUAAUUUCUACAAAACAAUUGUGACUAUAUAUAUAUAUAUAUAUACACACACACACACACACACACACACACACACACACAUUUUUAAAUAUAUUAUGAAGUACAUCUAAAAGUACAUUGUGAUAUUAUUUAUCUACUUUAAUUUGUCAUGUUAUUAAUUGCAUUCGUUUUCUUUAUGCAAAAUUCAAGAGAAUAAAUUGGAUUAAAUUCUAU
ensembl:lncRNA